rnacentral:lncRNA from 13 species
GUAAAAGCAAUGGAGAGCUGGGACAUACCUGUGAGCAAGUCCAGCACAGAUCUUGGUGAAAGUACAAGGAUAUGGAAAGGUGAUGAUCAUGCAGUUGUUAACUGUUUCUCUGAAGUGAUAAUUGAUCACAGCUGGCACCUGGGAACGGCAGCCUCCUAGUAUAUAGAGAACACCUGAAACUGAUCAGCAGCUUCCCCAUAAUGCCUUGGGAGUGAGAAGUACGGCACCGUCCCAGAAGUAGGCCAGUGUAUAAAAAGCCAUGUUAAGAGGUCAAAGCAGAGCACUUGGUCCUAUUUCAGUCGAAUUAUUUCUUCUGACUGGGCAAGCAUUGAAAUUGCCGAAGACCUGUCUGGAUACACCAUCAGUUAAUCAAGGAACAAACAUGGGUGUAAAACUCCUCUGCAAAGGUUUCUUUGAAAACUUUGAAAAGAAAAUAUGGUUCAGAAAAGUUUUCCCAACAGAAAUGACUUCCCACUUUUCUCCAUCCUGCAAAUCAUUUGAAAGCUCCUACUCAAGUUGCAUCUGCGUUGAACAGUCUGUGCCAUGCCAGGCCUCUUUGUUUUAUGGAUUCAUAAGAUAUAUGUCAUAUUUUCAUUCUGACCACCCUCCACACUUCAACUGGAUAUCCACAGAGCCUCCCCCUCAAGCUGCCAGUGAAGUGAAUGCAGUCACCGUUAUCAGCAAUGCUUUGUACAAGCAACUCACAAACCCUGCUAUGAUGGAUUUACUGCAGUAG